rnacentral:rRNA from 1 species
AGCGAACGCUGGCGGCAGGCCUAACACAUGCAAGUCGAACGAAGUCUUCGGACUUAGUGGCGGACGGGUGUGUAACACGUGGGAACGUGCCCUUUGGUUCGGAACAACUCAGGGAAACUUGAGCUAAUACCGGAUGUGCCCUUCGGGGGAAAGAUUUAUCGCCAUUGGAGCGGCCCGCGUCUGAUUAGCUAGUUGGUGAGGUAAAGGCUCACCAAGGCGACGAUCAGUAGCUGGGCUGAGAGGAUGAUCAGCCACAUUGGGACUGAGACACGGCCCAAACUCCUACGGGAGGCAGCAGUGGGGAAUCUUGCGCAAUGGGCGAAAGGCUGACGCAGCCAUGCCGCGUGAAUGAUGAAGGUCUUAGGAUUGUAAAAUUCUUUCACCGGGGACGAUAAUGACGGUACCCGGAGAAGAAGCCCCGGCUAACUUCGUGCCAGCAGCCGCCGUAA